rnacentral:rRNA from 1 species
UGAGCAUAUCAAUAAGCGGAGGAAAAGAAACCAACAGGGAUUACCUCAGUAACGGCGAGUGAAGCGGUAAGAGCUCAAAUUUGAAAGCUGGCUCCUUCGGGGUCCGCAUUGUAAUUUGCAGAGGAUGUUUCGGGAGCAGCCCCCAUCUAAGUGUCCUGGAACGGACCGUCAUAGAGGGUGAGAAUCCCGUAUGGGAUGGGGUGUCUGCGCCCAUGUGAAACUCCUUCGACGAGUCGAGUUGUUUGGGAAUGCAGCUCUAAAUGGGUGGUAAAUUUCAUCUAAAGCUAAAUAUUGGCCGGAGACCGAUAGCGCACAAGUAGAGUGAUCGAAAGAUGAAAAGCACUUUGAAAAGAGAGUUAAAAAGCACGUGAAAUUGUUGAAAGGGAAGCGCUUGCGAUCAGACUCGCCUUGGGGGUUCAGCCGGCAUUCGUGCCGGUGUACUUCCCCCAGGGCGGGCCAGCGUCGGUUUGGGUGGCCGGUCAAAGGCCCUUGGAAUGUAACGCCUCUCGGGGCGUCUUAUAGCCAAGGGUGCCAUGCGGCCUACCUGGACCGAGGAACGCGCUUCGGCUCGGACGCUGGCAUAAUGGUCGUAAGCGACCCGUCUUGAAACACGGACCAAGGAGUCUAACAUCUACGCGAGUGUUCGGGUGUCAAACCCGUGCGCGCAGUGAAAGCGAACGGAGGUGGGAACCCUUUGGGUGCACCAUCGACCGAUCCUGAUGUCUUCGGAUGGAUUUGAGUAAGAGCGUAGCUGUUGGGACCCGAAAGAUGGUGAACUAUGCCUGAAUAGGGCGAAGCCAGAGGAAACUCUGGUGGAGGCUCGCAGCGGUUCUGACGUGCAAAUCGAUCGUCGAAUUUGGGGUAUAGGGGCGAAAGACUAAUCGAACCAUCUAGUAGCUGGUUCCUGCCGAG